rnacentral:rRNA from 1 species
CGGUGCCGCAGCUAACGCAUUAAGUACUCCGCCUGGGAAGUACGCUCGCAAGAGGGAAACUCAAAGGAAUUGACGGGGACCCGCACAAGUAGCGGAGCAUGUGGUUUAAUUCGAAGCAACGCGAAGAACCUUACCUAAGCUUGACAUCCCAAUGACAUCUCCUUAAUCGGGGAGUUCCCUUCGGGGACAUUGGUGACAGGUGGUGCAUGGUUGUCGUCAGCUCGUGUCGUGAGAUGUUGGGUUAAGUCCCGCAACGAGCGCAACCCUUGUCUUUAGUUGCCAUCAUUAAGUUGGGCACUCUAGAGA